ACUAGAACACAAGCACAUGACAAACCGGGAAUGUCAGAGCUCUGUCACCCACUAAGAUAAAACCAGACAGAAGUGACAGAACCCUGACAUCAGGCUCCUCACCCUACAUUCAAACAGUCUAAUGACAACUCUCAGUCAAUCACAAACUGGAUAUUCUAAGUUUAACAUUAAUAUUAGGAACAUUUCCACUUUUUUCUAUAAUCAUCUAUACAAGCAUCUUCAUCAUGCUCUAUUUCAACUACAAAAACCCCAUAAGCAUUUAAAAACACAUGCAUUCAAUGCAAAAACUUUCUCAUUUCAACUCUUCCCCCUCAGGACGGUAGCCUAUAUAUGUGGCUUCCUGUUUGCGGGCUUCUCCUAUUAGAAAGCUCAGAGGAGAAGAACCACAGAUACAGAGAAUGACAAACAUUAGUCACACUGGAAUGUGCACCUUCCCUGUGACGUUGAUCUGUGGAAAAACAACAAUGAAUAAACUUAUCUUGUACAAAAC